AGCAAGCUGGGGAUGAAAUCAUUAUAAGAAAGGCUCUUUACUGGCCUGAUGGCAGAACAAGGAAAUGUUCAGACGAGCACGUAGUGGAGUUUACCCGUGAGCAAAUGAGUUUAGUGCUUCAAGCUUUACUGGACAAGUAUAAUGAGGAUCGCAAUCUUGUUGGGGAUCUUGCGUAUGAAUUCAAGGAUUUUUUGCACUAUCAAACAAUUUGUGAAGACUAUAAGUGGUACAAGCAUUUCAAUUUCACGACAAAGACUAAAGAUUGAAUUGAGGAUCUUUUCUUUGCUGAAGUGACAAAGGGAGCAGAUGAUGCAUUAGUGGCCAACUGUUUCUGCAAGAUUGAAUCCAAUGAAAAUGGCCACUGCUAUGGUUGCAUAAAUCAUGGAAUUACUGAUAUGAAGCACCCCAACAAGGCUGAUGCAUACUCCGGUGGUCACUUGAACGUAUAUUUGCCAUUUGGUGGGUGUAGAAGACGUCCUAACACGUGGACAGGCUCUAAGGAAGAUGUGGCAGCUGAGGAAGCUAGGCUGAGAUACAUCUACGGUAUACGAUGAUUAGAAGUUAUUUAUCAUAUAUUUAUGGUGCUAGUUGUUGGAGUUGUGGUGGAAAUAAGCAACCAUUUUUAUUGUUUGUGGUGUGUAUUAGAGUGCUAGUUGUUGGAAUUGUGUUAUGUUUACUUGCACAGCCCAGUGCUCCUUGUUGCUACCCUCACUCUUGUAGAAGUUAUUUAUCAAGUACUGUAUG